rnacentral:piRNA from 1 species
UGAGACUGUAUACUUUUGUUCAUUCUUUGGA